ACACAAUCAUCGCCUUGGAAGCUUCAUCACGAUGCUAGUUUGCAUUUCUGAAGAGGGAAGAAGAAAUCAAUAUGCAAAUUCAAUUCCAUGGUUUUGGAAGUCCCAUUGAGAACACGAUUUAUUUGCGCCGGCAUAAUGCUCUGACCGAGAAAGAAUUGAAGAACGUACCCCGGAAGAGAGAGCCCAGAGAAUUGCCAAAGCUGUCCGCAAACAGUCAACAGAAGUGAAGGAAAAUUGGGAGCAAUUGAAAACCCGUGCAAGCAACUGGCAGAAACAGGUGGAAAAGGCGUUGGAGAAACUUCAAGAACUGCAGAAAGCUCUGGAUGAUCUUGAGGCUCAUGUGAUAACAGCUGAGGGGGUCCACACUGAUUGGCAACCUGUGGGUGACCUGCUUAUUGACUCAUUGCAGGAUCACAUUGAUAAAACCACAGGUAAGGACUAUCUGCAAAAUCUGAGAUUGGGUUUUGAAAGACAGCAGCCUUUGUUUAGGAGAGCUAAUGGGAACUGCAGAUGCUGGAGAAUGCGAGAUAACACCGUGUGGAACUGGACGAAGACAGCAGGCCAAGCAUCAUCUUAGGAGCACAAAAGCUGAUGUUUCGGGCCGAGAACCACCUUCAGAAAAUGGGGAGGGGGUGCGGGUUCUGGAAUAAAUAGGGAGAGAGGGGGAGGCGGAUGGAAGAUGGAUGGAGGAGAAGGUAGGUGGAGAGGAGAGUAUGGGUAGGGAGGCAGGGAGGGGAUAGGUCAGUCUGGGGAGGCGGGACAGGUCAAGGGAGCGGGAUGAGGGGAAAUAGGGGUGCGGCAUGAGGUGGGAGGGGGGAUGGGUGAGAGGAAGAAUAGGUUAGGGAGGCGGGGACGAGCUGGGCUGGUUUCGGGAUGCAGUGGGAGGACAGGAGAUUUGGAAGCUUGUGAAAUCCACACUGAUACCAUUGGGCUGCAGGGUUCCCAAGCAGAAUAUGAGUUGCUGUUCCUGCAACCUUCGGGUGGCGUCAUUAUGGCACUGCAGGAGGCCCAGGUUGGACGUGUCCUCUCAGGAAUGGGAGGGGGAGUUGAAAUGGUUCGUGACUGGGAGGUGCAGUUGUUGAUUGCAAACUGAGCGUAGGUGUUCUGAAAAGCGGUCCCCAAGCCUCUGCAUUGUUUCCCCAAUGUAGAGGAAGCCACAACGGGGACAGCGGAUGUUUUGGAUAUUUCUUCAGCAUUGAUUUUCAUUCAGAGUUGGUUCGAUUUUGCUGAAGCAAUAGACAUAACUCACUAUGACGUAGACAAUGUCAGAGUUAAUGUUUCGCGUCCUGUGACCCUUCCUCAGAUCUCACUCUUCACUGAUGCUGCCAGACCUGCUGAGCUUUUCCAGCAACUUCUGCUUUUGUUGCUGAUUUACAGUGCCCACAGUUCUUUUGUUUUUUACAACACAGACAAAACUUGAUCUCUGCAGGAAGCAUGAUGCUGCAUUCUCCAACUUCCCUGGCCUUUUGUAAUAUAAUAUUGUCUUUUUAGGACAGAAGUGGCUUUUUUUUUGUUUUAACUUCUGCACAUGCUUUCUAUGCAGGUUAAAAGUCUACACCUUUUCAGUUCACUGCAGUGCUGCAUAAUGAAGACUUGGAACAAUUUUUUUUAUGAAGUAGAAAAUCAGUGUGGUUUGUUUUCCAAAAUGUGAUGUGUAAGUGCAACACUUAACAGUGUGUUCAUCAAACUAACACAGAACUGACUCAAAGGUAGAAGACAGGGUGGUGGUGGAGGAUUGCUUUUGAGACUAGAGUUCUUUGAUGUGGGGUGUGCCACAAGAAUCAGGGCUGGGUCAACUGAUUUUCAUCAUGUGUAUAAAUGAUUUGGAUGUGAAUAUUGGAGGUAUGGUCAGUAAGUUUGCAGAUGACACCAAAAUUGAAGGUGUAAUGGACAGCCAAGAAGGUUACCUCAGAGUAUAUUGGUGUUUUGCUUAGAUGGGCAAAUGGGCCAAGGAGUGACAGAUGGAAUUGAAUUUAGAUGAAUGUGAGGUGCUGCAUUUUGGAAAGGCAAAUCGGGCAGGACUAAUAUACAUAAAGGAAAGGUUCUGGGGAAUGUUGCUGAACAAAGAGACCUUGGAAUGCAAGUUCAUAGUUCCAUGAAAAUGGAGUUGCAGGCAGAUAAGUUAGUGAAGAAGACUUUCGCUAUGCUUGCCUUUAUUGGUCAGUCAUUGAGUGAAGGAGUUGGGAGGUCAUGGUGCAGAUGUACAAGGUAUUGGUUAGGACACUUCUGGAACACUGUGUACAAUUCUGUUCUCCCUGCUACAGGAAGAAUGUUGUGAAACUUGAACGGGUUCAGAAAAGAUUUACAAGGAUGUUGCCAGGAUUGGAAGGUUUGAGCUGAGGGAGAGGCUGAAUAGGCUGGGGCUAUUUUCUCUGGAGCUUCGGCGGCUGAGGGGUGACUUUAUAGAGGUUUAUAAAUCAUGAGGGUCAUGGAUAGGGUAAAUAGUCAAGGUCUUUUCCCAGAGGGUGGGGAGCCCAAAACUAGACAUCUUGGUUUAAGGUGAGAGAGCAACAAUUUAAAAGGGACCCUUUUAAUGCAGAGGGUAGUGCAUGGAUGGAAUGAACUACAGAGGAAAUGGUGGAGGCGGAUACAAACAUAAUAUUUAAAAGGUAUCUGGGUGUGUAUAAAAAUAGGAAGGGUAUAGAGGGGUAGGGGCCAAAUGCUGUCAAAUGGGACUAGAUUUACGUAGGCAAUCUGGUCGGCAUGGACGAGUUGGACCAAACGGUCUGUUUCCAUGCUGUCAAACUCUAUGUCUCUAUUGUUUCCUUUGAUCUUUGUGUUGCAGAAAUUUCUAGAAUCAUUUCAUAUAUAUUUUUCUUGAUAUAUUUUAGCAGCUUUCCUGGAGCAAGUCUGUUUUCCUUCGGAUGAGACGACUUUCAGACAUACUCCCUUUAUUAUGAGAUUUAAUUGCGGUAAAAUGAGGAGGAUUUUUAUUCACUGAGACACACAUGACUAUAUGUUUAAAGCAUUGGCAAAAGAGUUCUGUUCAGACUGUCAUGUUAUCUGGUGUUUGUACCAGGCUUUCCGAUGAAAUGCAAGUGAUUAAGGAUGCUAAUGAUGCCACAUGUUAUUACAAGAGGAAAUGAACAUACAAGUAAGGAUUUUAUGCCACAUUUAUACACAGCAUGGACCACGCAGCAUGGAUGCCGUGACGGAGUGAAAUGGGAUGCCGUGACGGAGUGAAAUGGGAUGCCGUGACAGAGUGAAAUGGGAUGCUCACAGCGAAUUGCCCCCUCCAUCCUGACCCUCUCGCAGCGACCUGACCCGCUCACACUGACUCGCCCCUGCAGUCCUGACCAGCUCACAGCUACUUGUCUCUGCAGUCCUGACCCACUCACAGCGACCUACCCCUCCGUGCUGACCCGCUCAGAGUGAGUUGCCCCUGCAGUCCUGACCCCCCUCACAGUGACCUGCCCCCUCACUCCUGACCCGCUCUGCAUUGAGGAAACCAAGCGGAGGCUUGGGGACCGCUUUGCAGAACACCUCCGCUCGGUUCGCAACAAACAACUGCACCUCCCAGUCGCGAACCAUUUUAACUCCCCCUCCCAUUCCUUAGACGACAUGUCCAUCAUGGGCCUCCUGCAGUGCCACAAUCAUGCCACCCGAAGGUUGCAAGGACAGCAACUCCUCAUCCGCUUGGGAACCCUGCAACCCAAUGGUAUCAAUGUGGACUUCACAAGCUUCAAAAUCUCCCCCUCCCCAACUGCAUCCCAAAACCAGCCCAGUUCUUCCCCUCCCGCUACUGCAUCACAAAACCAGCCCAGCCUGUCUCCGCCUCCCUAACCUGUUGUUCCUCUCACCCAUCCCUUCCUCCCACCUCAAGCCACACCUCCAUUUCCGACCGACCACCUCAUCCUGCCUCCUUGACUUGUCCGUCUUCCCUGGACUGACCUAUCCCCACCCUCCCUCCUCACCUGUACUCUCCUCUCUACCUAUCUUGUUUUCUCUCCAUCUUCGGUCCGCAUCCCCUCCUCUCCCUAUUUAUUCCACUUCCCUCUCCCAUCCCCCUCUCUGAUGAAGGGUCUAGGCCUGAAAUGUCAGCUUUUGUGCUCCUGAGAUGCUGCUUGGCCUGCUGUGUUCAUCCAGCUCCACGCUUUGUUAUUUUGGAUUCUCCAGCAUUUGCCAUUAUCAGUGGCCUUUCCUCUUUGUCAAAGUUUGUGCAAAAGCAACACGAUAUGGGGCGGCACGGUGGCUCAGUGAUUAGCACUGCAGCUUCACAGCACUGGGGACUCAGGCUCAAUUCCAGCCUCAGGCAACUGUUUGUGUGGAAUUUGCACCUUGACCCUGUGUCUGCGUGGGUUUCUUCCAGGUGCUCCGAUCUCCUCCCACAGUCCAAAGAGGUGCACGCUAGGUGGAUUGGCCAUGCUAAAUUGCCCAUAGUGUUCAGGGGCGUGGGUCUGGGUGGGAUGCUCCAAGGUUUGGUGUGCACUUGUUGGGCCAAAGGGCCUGUUUCCACACUGUAGGGAAUCUAAACAAUCCUGUUCCCACAUCUCCAUGUUAUAACCCUGCUGAGCACUGCACACAGAGAUGUUUGAUAACAAAAGGAUAACAAUAAUAUUCAAACCCAGUGCUGGAGAUGUAUUUUAAAUACACUGAGGCCAGUGUCGAUCUCCAAUUCAACUUUUAUUUACAAAUGAACUGUCUUCAACUUUAGCACUGCCUCAUUCAGAGAUAGUUGCCAGGGUGUCAGCAUCUCUGACCCUCACACGACUUAGCUGUCAGUCAGGGCUCCCUGAUUUGGGCUGUUAAUGUGGACCAGUCAGGCAACUCAUAUUCUGUGAGGUUCAACUGGCCGACCUGGUCACAAACCAGUGCGGUGUGUUCAUCGAAAAUCAAACAUGUACUAGAAAGGUACCAUUACAUACCAGUGCAAAGGAAGGCAUGAGGCUAAACUGGGGAGGGAAGGGAACUGCUUAUUGGGGGUGGCUCAGAGAGUGGAAGAAAAUCGAAUGGGAAGAAGACCAUUUGAGACUGAGGGAGAGAGAUGUAAUUGCCUGAAUGAGGCAUUCCAAUUGCGAAAUGGAUUUUUGUGUGUACACCCUGUUCAGUUUCCCCGAUCUUAAUCUGUCCUCCUCUUUAAAUCAUUCGUAUCUGAAAUUUCUGUAUCAUUUCCAAAUGCUCUGUCUCUAAUGUUAUGCUGUUGGAAUUGUUUGAACUGCAGAGAUAUCAUUUAUUUGCACAAAUGUGUUCAGUGAAAUGAGUUGCAUGCUCUUUAUGUAUUAUUCUUCCUGAUUCUAUUAUAC